rnacentral:misc_RNA from 1 species
AAGACUAUAGACCUGCGGAGUACCUGCGGAAGGAUCAUUACCGAGUUAUCCAACUCCCAACCCCUGUGAAUCAUACCUUUAAUUGUUGCUUCGGCGGGACUUCGCGCCCGCCGGGGACCCAAACCUUCUGAAUUUUUUAAUAAGUAUCUUCUGAGUGGUUAAAAAAAAUGAAUCAAAACUUUUAGCAAUGGAUCUCU